UCCCCGUUACCGGGGCAGUCUGGCUAGAAAAAUUCAACUAACCAUAAGGGUUGCGCUCGUUGAUGGACUUAACCAAACAUCUCACGACACGAGCUGACGACGGCCAUGCAACACCUGUCACUGGAUUCCCGAAGGCACUCUUUCCUUUCGGAAAGAUUCCCAGGAUGUCAAACCCUGGUAAGGUUCUUCGCUUACCAUCGAAUUAAACAACACGCUCCACCGCUUGUGCGGGUCCCCGUCAAUUCCUUUAUGUUUUAGCCUUGCGGCCGUACUCCACAGGCGGGAUGCUUAACGCGUUAGCUUCGCUACUACAAGGGUCGAUACUUAUAACAGCUAGCAUCCAUCGUUUACGGCGUGGACUA
rnacentral:misc_RNA from 1 species